rnacentral:rRNA from 1 species
UACGUAGGGUGCAAGCGUUGUCCGGAAUUAUUGGGCGUAAGAGCUACGUAGGCGGUCUGUUGCGUCGGCUGUGAAAACCCGGGGCUCAACUCCGGGCCUGCAGCCGAUACGGGCAGACUAAGAGUUCGGCAGGGGAGACUGGAAUUCCGUGGAUGUAGGCGGUGAAAUGCGUAGAUAUCAGGAGGAACACCUGCGGUGUAGACGGCUUUCUGGACCAUUGCUGACGCUGAGACACGAAAGCGUGGGUAGCAAACAGG